UGGACUGUUACAGAGGAAAGUCAGGGCCAUGCUGUUCAGAUAUCGUUGAAAGAUAUCUUUUUGAAAGAAAGGAUCACAAGGAGGAGGCUCAGUGUUCUCUCCUGAGCAUGAAGCUGUCUUUAGAUGUUGCUUCUGCAAAUGCCUAUUGACAUUGAUGAUUGUACUUUUCCUCCUUUGGAGGAGUAAGAGGAAGAGGAGACAGUCUGAGUGGU